rnacentral:rRNA from 1 species
CUGGCUCAGAUUGAACGCUGGCGGCAUGCUUUACACAUGCAAGUCGAACGGUAACAGGCCUUCGGGCGCUGACGAGUGGCGAACGGGUGAGUAAUGCAUCGGAACGUGCCCGGUCGUGGGGGAUAACACUUCGAAAGAAGUGCUAAUACCGCAUACGAUCUGAGGAUGAAAGCGGGGGACCUUCGGGCCUCGCGCGAUCGGAGCGGCCGAUGUCAGAUUAGGUAGUUGGUGGGAUAAAAGCUUACCAAGCCAACGAUCUGUAGCUGGUCUGAGAGGACGACCAGCCACACUGGGACUGAGACACGGCCCAGACUCCUACGGGAGGCAGCAGUGGGGAAUUUUGGACAAUGGGCGCAAGCCUGAUCCAGCAAUGCCGCGUGCAGGAAGAAGGCCUUCGGGUUGUAAACUGCUUUUGUACGGAACGAAAAGGCUCUGGCUAAUACCUGGAGCUCAUGACGGUACCGUAAGAAUAAGCACCGGCUAACUACGUGCCAGCAGCCGCGGUAAUACGUAGGGUGCGAGCGUUAAUCGGAAUUACUGGGCGUAAAGCGUGCGCAGGCGGUGCUGUAAGACAGGCGUGAAAUCCCCGGGCUCAACCUGGGAAUUGCGCUUGUGACUGCAGC